rnacentral:tRNA from 1 species
UGUAUCUCAGUGGUUAGAGCAUGGCACUAGCAAUGCCAAGGUCAUGGAAUCGAUCCC